rnacentral:rRNA from 1 species
AGAACGAACGCUGGCGGCAUGCCUAACACAUGCAAGUCGAACGCCGUAGCAAUACGGAGUGGCAGACGGGUGAGUAACGCGUGGGAACAUACCCUUCGGUUCGGAAUAACUCAGGGAAACUUGAGCUAAUACCGGAUACGUCCGAGGUUUUAAUCGACCUUGGAGAAAGAUUUAUCGCCGGAGGAUUGGCCCGCGUCUGAUUAGCUUGUUGGUGAGGUAAUGGCUCACCAAGGCGACGAUCAGUAGCUGGUCUGAGAGGAUGAUCAGCCACAUUGGGACUGAGACACGGCCCAAACUCCUACGGGAGGCAGCAGUGGGGAAUAUUGGACAAUGGGCGAAAGCCUGAUCCAGCCAUGCCGCGUGAGUGAUGAAGGCCUUAGGGUUGUAAAGCUCUUUUACCCGGGAAGAUAAUGACGGUACCGGGAGAAUAAGCCCCGGCUAACUUCGUGCCAGCAGCCGC